GAUGAACGCUGGCGGCGUGCCUAAUACAUGCAAGUCGAGCGAACAGACGAGGGGCUUGCUCCUCUGAUGUUAGCGGCGGACGGGUGAGUAACACGUGGAUAACCUACCUAUAAGACUGGGAUAACUUCGGGAAACCGGAGCUAAUACCGGAUAACAUGUUGAACCGCAUGGUUCAACAGUGAAAGACGGUCUUGCUGUCACUUAUAGAUGGAUCCGCGCCGCAUUAGCUAGUUGGUAAGGUAACGGCUUACCAAGGCAACGAUGCGUAGCCGACCUGAGAGGGUGAUCGGCCACACUGGAACUGAGACACGGUCCAGACUCCUACGGGAGGCAGCAGUAGGGAAUCUUCCGUAAUGGGCGAAAGCCUGACGGAGCAACGCCGCGUGAGUGAAGAAGGUCUUCGGAUCGUAAAACUCUGUUAUUAGGGAAGAACAAAUGUGUAAGUAACUAUGCACGUCUUGACGGUACCUAAUCAGAAAGCCACGGCUAACUACGU
rnacentral:rRNA from 1 species